ACACAUCCAUGGCCUUUUGGCUAAGAUCAAGUGUAGUAUCUGUUCUUAUCAGUUUAAUAUGUAAAGCAACUUUUCUUUUUUAAACUUUUUAAAAAUUCAU
rnacentral:snRNA from 1 species